CACGAAUCAUCCUGCAAGAAGGACUCUCCUGUUUGCUUCAGCUUCUUCACUUUGCGCCAAUCCUUUAACACCGAGCGAGGUAUUCCAGUGCUGUUACUGCCGCUCUGCAACUUCAGCUUGCUUUUCUCUUUGGCACUCCUGCUAAGGACACCAUUUGGUUUUACUUCUUCCUCCGCAUCACCCUUUUUCCUCUGCAAAUCGUUUUGUUUCUUUUUAUAAGUUGGCUUGGGCUGCCUCUUAGUCCUUUGCUCUGACUUGCUCUCGCUUUCAUCAGAGUCUCCGCUUUCAGAGCCAGACUCGUAAGUUCGUUUUGCUUUUCUCCUAGGGUGCUUAUCUUCCUUCACAAACUUAUCUGCCAAGAUUUUACUAUCUAUGUUAUUUUGCAGAUCAUUUGAUGUAGAAGCUAUUAAAUUGACAGUACACGGCUUAAUAAUUUCUGAAACGCUGUUCCCUGAAUUCUCUUUUUUAUUAGUGUUUUUAUCCUCCUCUGAAUGCCUUGUCAGCCAAGCCUUUUUCAGUUUAGUGUGGUAGUUUGGCUGACUCGCCUGGGAAGUUUGCCCACUGCCUACAGAGUUUGCUUUGUUUAUUGUAUUACAG
rnacentral:lncRNA from 1 species